rnacentral:tRNA from 1 species
AAUCCGUCGAUUUAAAAAUCAUGAGGGUUCAAGUCCCUCUAUCCCCA